ensembl:snRNA U6 U6 spliceosomal RNA
GUGCUUGCUUCAGCGGCACAUAUACUAAAAUUGGGAUGUUACAGAGAAGAUUAGCAUGGCCUUUUUACAAGGAUGACACACUAGCAACUGGCAUAGCCUUGUUCUU